GAUGAACGCUAGCGGCAGGCCUAACACAUGCAAGUCGAGGGGUAGAACACUUCGGUGUUUGAGACCGGCGCACGGGUGCGUAACGCGUAUGCAAUCUACCUUGUACAGGGGAAUAGCCCAGAGAAAUUUGGAUUAAUGCCCCAUAGUAUAUAACCUUCGCAUGUUGGUUAUAUUAAAGUUCCAACGGUACAAGAUGGGCAUGCGUCCCAUUAGUUAGUUGGUAAGGUAACGGCUUACCAAGACGAUGAUGGGUAGGGGUCCUGAGAGGGAGAUCCCCCACACUGGUACUGAGACACGGACCAGACUCCUACGGGAGGCAGCAGUGAGGAAUAUUGGUCAAGGGGCGCAAGCCUGAACCAGCCAUGCCGCGUGCAGGAAGACGGUCCUAUGGAUUGUAAACUGCUUUUAUACAGGAAGAAACAACUCUACGUGUAGAGUCUUGACGGUACUGUAGGAAUAAGGAUCGGCUAACUCCGUGCCAGCCGCCGCGGUAACAC
rnacentral:rRNA from 1 species